rnacentral:rRNA from 1 species
CCUACGGGGGACAGCAGUGGGGAAUAUUGCACAAUGGGGGAAACCCUGAUGCAGCGACGCCGCGUGAGUGAAGAAGUAUUUCGGUACGUAAAGCUCUAUCAGCAGGGAAGAAAAUGACGGUACCUGACUAAGAAGCCCCGGCUAACUACGUGCCAGCAGCCGCGGUAAUACGUAGGGGGCAAGCGUUAUCCGGAUUUACUGGGUGUAAAGGGAGCGUAGACGGCAGCGCAAGUCUGGAGUGAAAUCCCAUGGCUUAACCAUGGAACUGCUUUGGAAACGGUGCAGCUAGAGUGCAGGAGAGGUAAGCGGAAUUCCUAGUGUAGCGGUGAAAUGCGUAGAUAUUAGGAGGAACACCAGUGGCGAAGGCGGCUUACUGGACUGUAACUGACGUUGAGGCUCGAAAGCGUGGGGAGCAAACAGGAUUAGAUACCCUUGUAGUC